UGAAUUUAAGCAUAUUAAUGAGGGAAGGAAAAGAAACUAACUAGGAUUUCCUUAGUAGCGGCGAGCGAAAAGGAAAAAGUUCAGCACUAAGGGAUUUUGUUUUUAACAAAUAUCCGAUGCAGUGUAAGGAAUGUCUAUUAUCUAGUAUGACAAAUUAACCGUUUAAGUCCUUCUUAAACGAGGCCAUUUACCCAUAGAGGGUGCUAGGCCCGUAUAGCGUUAAUGAUUACUAGAAGAUAUUUCCAUAGAGUCGUGUUGCUUGAUAGUGCAGCACUAAGUGGGUGGUAAACUCCAUCUAAAACUAAAUAUAACCAUGAGACCGAUAGCAAACAAGUACCGUGAGGGAAAGUUGAAAAGAACUCUGAAUAGAGAGUUAAAUAGUACGUGAAACUGCUUAGAGGUUAAGCCCGAUGAACCUGAAUAUCCGUUGUGGAAAAUUCAUCAUCACUUGUGUGAUAUUUUUUAAUAUCAUAUCAAUGGUGUGCACUUUUUCCACUUAAGGACAUUGUAAUCCGUUAAUGUUUGAAUGCGUAUUAUAAGAACAUUUACAAUAGUUUUUACAUUAUUUAACUUGUUGAAUAUGUUUAAAUGUGAAUGCUUCGAAUAUGCCAUUGACGGAUUUUUUAUAUAUUGCACUUAAAUCUUUUGA
rnacentral:rRNA from 1 species